AUAUUUAUGAUGAUAUUUUUGAUAGGGACAUCUGAUAUACAGUGACUGAUUUAUCAAGUUUCUUAAAAUACUGAAAUA
rfam:Stomoxys calcitrans breed 8C7A2A5H3J4 unplaced genomic scaffold Scaffold2349, whole genome shotgun sequence.